rnacentral:rRNA from 1 species
UACAGAGGUCCCGAGCGUUUGUUCGGAUUCACUGGGCGUAAAGGGUGCGUAGGUGGUGAGGUAAGUCGGAUGUGAAAUCUCCGAGCUCAACUCGGAAAUGGCAUUGGAAACUACCUUGCUCGAGGGUUGGAGGGGGACUGGAAUACUUGGUGUAGCAGUGAAAUGCGUAGAUAUCAAGUGGAACACCAGUGGCGAAGGCGAGUCCCUGGACAACUCCUGACACUGAGGCACGAAAGCUAGGGGAGCAAACAGG